CACGUAGGGUGCGAGCGUUGUCCGGAUUUAUUGGGCGUAAAGAGCGUGUAGGCGGCCAGGUAGGUCUGGUGUGAAAACUCGAGGCUUAACCUCGAGAUGUCAUCGGAAACCAUUUGGCUAGAGUCCGGAAGAGGAGAGUGGAAUUCCUGGUGUAGCGGUGAAAUGCGCAAAUAUCAGGAAGAACACCAAUGGCGAAAGCAGCUCUCUGGGACGGUACUGACGCUGAGACGCGAAAGCGUGGGGAGCGAACAGG
rnacentral:rRNA from 1 species